rnacentral:rRNA from 1 species
GAGUUGAUGCGAGUGAGAAUGCAGGCAUGAGUAGCGUGUGACGGGUGGGAAUCCCGUCCGCCGAUUAUCCAAGGGUUCCAGGGUCAAGUUUGUCUGCCCUGGGUGAGUCGGGUCCUAAGGCGAGGCCGACAGGCGUAGUCGAUGGGUAACCAGUUGAUAUUCUGGUACCGGCUUGUCACCGUCCGUGUCGAGGUGUGUGAUGCUAAGCAUGUGAGCUUGUCUUGGGAGUGUUUUUGAUGCUUCUGGGGUGGGUGAGUGUGUGAACCGAUCAUGUAGUAGGCAAGCUGCGGAGGGACGCAGUGAGGUAGCUCAUCCCCGGUGAUGGUUGUCCGGGGCUAAGUGUG